ACCUAAAGCAAGCAAUCAAAUAACUUUAUUUUUUUCAUACAUCUUCAAAAACUUCGAAAGAAAUCAAACUUUCAGUUAAAAAAUGACCUUGGUGAGAAGUCUAUUGGGUGCAAAGAAGAUUCUUGGCCGCUCUGUAACAGCAGCAGCUUCUACGAGUAAAAGAUCAACCUCGGCUGCACCAAAAGGGUUUCUUGCUGUGUACGUAGGAGAGAGCCAGAAGAAGAGAUAUGUGGUGCCAAUCUCAUACCUGAGCCAGCCAUCGUUUCAAGCUCUUCUGAAUAAAUCUGAAGAAGAGUUUGGGUUUGAUCAUCCAAUGGGCGGCUUAACAAUUCCUUGUUCUGAAGAUAUAUUCAUCACAGUGACGUCUCGGUUCCAAUGAUGAUUAUCCAACAUAUUGUUAGUCUAGUUAGAUAUAGACUUUCCCUGUAGAUAGAUGAGAUUUUUUUUACCUCUUUAUUGUUUAAAGAGUUAUUCUAUAAUCUUUUGAAAGUGAAUGUUAUAGACACGAUAACGAUUCAUGUUUUAACAUUUUGGAUCAACCAUUGAACAAGAAAGUGUGACACCUAUCUGAUUCUCGUUUUUUUCUUCUUCUCGUCUUCUUAUUUGAUCAUUACUUUUGGUGUGCCAGUGCCUCAGCAUACUACUGUAAUGACAUGUGUUUUGAUCUUUGUGAAUAUGAAGAAAAACUCACUAGAGAAUAUUCAUUACAGAGAAUGAAGAACAUGUUGCAUGUCCUACAGUCAAUCCAGAUUUAAAACAUCUGAAUUACACAACCAUGUGAAACUCUGUUCUCUGUACAUCAGGUUUUCAACUCAGUAUAACGUGUCUCUCGGCUCCAAAAUAAUGUUCAUGCUAUAAAACAUACUUAACCAAUUUUUGUAAAUAGAUAGACACCUUUUUCUUUUACUUCUAAAUAGAGUUUGUAGCAGCGUGUGUGAAGAGUUAACUGAAUGAUUAUUGACUUAUUUAUAGCUUUUGUCAUUUGAUCCAAUGAAUCCAAAACAUUGAGCGGUUCGAGCCAUACAGAAGCUGUAAACAUCGUCUUAAAUGAGGUAUCCUCUGUAGUUCAGCGACCUUAGGAGUAAUUUGAUUGUGUAGUGAGAUUAAUGAGAUGACAAUCUUCAGAUUAAAAGCUAAUUUAUCAUAAGACAAGAAUCUUGAUGAAGAUAAAACAUAGGCAAUAAAUGUAUGCAAGAAUGAUGAACUUUCUUCUCAAAAAACUUGUUGCAAUUUGUAUAAUAGCAACCAUUGUCCUUACAUAGAAAUGUGGCAUAAACAUUUGAGUUAUGUAACCUCUUGAACAACUCUCUUUGACAAAGAAAGAGGAAAGGGUUAACAUAUAUACAUUUAAUGAUUCUAUAUCUAACUAAUGUCAGUGUUUUCUUCUUCUGGAACAUCAUCAUUGAAGCCGGGAAGUCACGUUGAUGAAGGUAUCUUCAGGACAAGGAAUCGUUAGUCCACCCAUUGGAUGGUCAUAUCCAAACUCUUCCUCAGAUUUACUGAGAAGAGCUUGAAAAGAAGGUUGGCUCAAGUAUGAGAUUGGCACUAUAAAUCUUUUCUUCUGGCUCUCUCCAACGUACACCGCAAGAAACCCCUUUGGCGCUGAAACUGUCCUUUUGCUUGUAGCAGCUACAGAGAGACCAAUAAACCUCUUUGCACUCAAGAGACCUCUGAAAAAAGCCAUUUCUUCUGUCUGGAAACUUGAAAAUUUGAAGCUUCUGAGGAACAGAUAGAUGCUCAGAUUCAAGGUUUGUACUGAAGAGUUGGUUCUCUGCCUUAAGAUGUAUAUAUAGAUUGAUAAAUGACUUUAAAACCACCUUAGAACCAUUGAAAGAAUGGGACAUACUCUAUUCACAUGGUUCUGUUUUCUAAGAUAUGAUAGAAGACAAGAAACAAAAGCUAACGAGCAUUAUCUCUUUUGUUUUCUCAUGUCUGUAUAAUAAAAUAAGAGAAGACAUGAGUUAUUCAAUCUUGUACGUAUAACUUGUCAUGUGUGAUACAUAUCUGUGGAUAUAAUUAAUGAACAACUUAAGCUUUGACAGAGACUUGUUGUUCUGCUGUUGAGAAACUUCAUGUCCCCACUUUAAAUUCUCAUUAACUAAAUCUAUUUAGAUCACAGAGAUGUGAGAAUAUGAUCACCACAGAACAUGAAGAACAGAAACUUGCUGGUCUUUAUUAUUGACAAAACAAAUGUCUUAUCUAAACAAACAUUGAGAAAACAAGCCCUUGUGUAUUACAUAUGGAGUUUGUUUUAGUUUAUUGUCCUACAUUCAAUUAAUAAUCUUAUCACCACAAACUGCAUUGACCUAUAACUUUUUCAAGUUGGUUCAGACAAUACCAUGUGAAACUCUGCUCUAGUUUGUCCCAUUGUUCAAGACCACAAGUUUGAGAGAGGUCCGAACUCAAUUCAUUGAUCUUUCUAUAUAUACACAUGACAUUACCCAUUCUUUCAAAAUCAUCAACCAGCAAACAAGCAAUAUAUAUCCAAUAACUUGAAUCUUUUCAUACAUCUUCGAAGCUUCAGACAAAGAAACUAGAAAUGGCUUUUGUAAGAAAUCUAUUGGGUGCCAAGAAGAUUCUUGGAGCCGCAACAAGCAAAAGGGCGGCCUCAGCGGCACCAAAGGGGUUUCUUGUGGUGUACGUAGGAGAGAGCCAGAAGAAGAGAUAUGUGGUGCCAAUCUCAUACUUGAGCCAGCCUACUUUUCAAGCUCUUCUGAGCAAAUCGGAAGAAGAGUUUGGGUUUGAUCAUCCAAUGGGCGGCUUAACGAUCCCUUGUCCUGAAGAUAUCUUCAUCAACGUAACGUCUAGGCUCCAAUGAUGAUGAUCAAACAUAUUGUUCUUCUAGUUAGAGAUAUACUUUGUUCCUUGUAAAUAGAGGAUAGUUUGUUUUUUUUCCUCUCUUUCUUCCCGAAAGAGUUCUAAAAUUUGAAAGUGGAAUACAAAUUUUUAUGCUAUAAACAUACAUAAUUCAUGUUAAAGUAAUUCAUUUUUGAUCAAUCAUUGAAAAAAAAUAUCAUUACAACUUUAAGAUAACCCAAGUUAAAAUCAUGCUCCAGUUUACAUUUCCAAGGGAAUGUGUGGAUCCUCAACUUUCAAUAAUCAGUCCUUCAAACAUGUUUUACUACUGUAUAUAUCAGUCUUACAGCUCACGUAACUGUGAGAAUAAUGAUUUAAUAUAUUAAAUCUCAAAGAUCGGAAUAUUUAUUGUUCUCUUGAAAUGGUAAGGUGAUAGACACUUGUAUUUUCGUUACUUCUAACUAACUUAAACAGUGAAGAUCCCUUCGCAUUCAAUCAUCCAUUUCUUGAAUAAUAGAUGAAAAGAGCAACAUGGGAGACCUGUUAGUGUAGACAACAUGUAUAAACUCAUUUCAUUGAUUCAUCUGUAUGUCCUGAAACAGAACAAUCUCUUCAUAUCAUUCACACUCAAGCAAUCCAAGUUUCUAAGAUUUAAUUUAUAUUUUUAGAAAGUUUUCUUCAUUAGCAUAGACACAUUUAACAGCAAAAAUUUCAUUUACAUUAAGCUUUGAACCUAUUGAACAACUCUUUUUCUCAGGAAGAACGAGGAAGAAAAAGGUUGACCUAUUUACAUUGAAUAAUUCUAUCUCUAACUCACGACUAGAAAACGUUAGAUCUAUCUACUCCUUUGGAACAUCUUCCCCUUUAGCUCAGAAGUCACAUUUAUGAAAGUAUCUUCAGGACAAGGGAUGGUUAAGCCCCCCAUCGGAUGAUUGAACCCAAACUCUUCUUCAGACUUACUGAGUAGAGCUUGAAACAAAGGCUGGUUCAAAUAUGAGACAGGAACAAUAUAUCUCUUCUUCUGGACCUGGUCCUCGCCAACAUACACAGCAAGAAACCCUUUUGGUGUUUUAGCCGCUACAGAGCGGCUAAGGAUCUUCUUUGCACCUAAGAGACCUCUCACCAAAGCCAUUUAUAGUAUUUGAAAAUCUCAAUUGAAGAUGGGUUGAGGAUUAACAAGUUAAAUGCUUAGAUUGUUUUGAUACUUGGUGAUGUGAAGAAUCGAUUCUGUUUCUGGAUGUAUAAAUAGAUCAAUGAAGUAACCAAUGAACCUGUGGUCUACAACUUCAAGCGUGUGGGACAUGCAAGAACAGAGUUUCACAUGGUGUUGUUUUUAAGUUAUGACAAGCAAUGAAAGCUAAUUAACAUUAUAUGCACUUCACAAGGGUUUUGUUUCCUCAGUGUCUUUAUAAUUUUAUGAAAAUGAGAUAUUGCAAUCUUCUCUCGUCUAUAAUAAACCAUUAUUAUCAGGUUUUGUUUGUUAAUGAUCUGGUGGGACCUUCAGUUGCCUACCAAGAGAACAAGGACACACUCGCUUUCAAAGAACAUGAUCUCAUGGUGUGAAACUUUAAUUUGAUUGAAAUGUAAGCGCGACUUAACUGUCAGGCUGUCACAUCCAUGUGAAUAUCACUGCAAAGCCCUAAUCAAACCACCACCAUCAGAGUGAUCAUACGAUGAGGCCUCAUGAGAUCAAAAUGUUGGGCUAUGGCUUGACAAAGCAUGUGUCAGUACGUACUAGCUGAGAUCUCUGGACCAGAAUUUGGAUUUGAUCACCCAAUGGGUAGGACUUAACAAUCCUUUGCUGAUCCAAAACACACAUCUCUUCAUCAUAUACAUAGAAAUCUCUUCCCCUAGACUAAUGCAACAGUUCUCUUUGCAUCUCAGCCAGUUGUACAAGACAAUCAAACUCUUGAAGUCUUCAACGUCAGAGUAUGAUGUUCAUUCAUCAUAAUAUUGUGCAAUAAAGCAUGGCUAAAAAGAUGAGAUAGUACAGUUACAAAAGAAAAAGAAAAAGAGAUAGUGAAGGUGCCCACAUAAACUAAAGCAGAGAGAGGAAGAGUCAUGUGAGUAUAUGUAACAGAGUCAAAUAAAAAUGCUUCCUUUUAAAGUUUUGUUUCCUCCAUCGUUACGCCUCAUUUCCAUUUCUCUCUCUCACCAACGCCAUGGACGAGACCCAAAUCGCAUCCCUCCUCAAAUCAUCCGACCUCUUCCCUCUCCCUCAAAGCCUCAAACUUUCCUACGGAACAGCCGGAUUCCGCGGCGACGCAACGCUCCUAGCCUCCACCGUCCACAGAGUCGGCAUCCUCUCAUCCCUCCGCUCCCUCAAGCUCGCACCCUCCACCAUCGGACUCAUGAUCACAGCCUCCCACAACAAAGUCUCCGACAACGGCGUCAAAGUCUCCGACCCAUCCGGCGAAAUGCUCUCCCAAGAAUGGGAGCCCUUCGCGGAUCAGAUCGCCAACGCGUCUUCUCCUCAAAAGCUCGUCUCUUUGAUCAGAGAGUUCGUCGAAAGAGAAGAGAUUUCAAUCGGAGACGGCGGUGAGGGAGGAGAGGUGUGGCUGGGGAGAGAUACUAGACCUAGCGGUGAAGCCCUCCUCCGAGCUGCUGAGAUCGGAGUCUCCUCUGUUUCGGGAUGCGUUGCGGUUAACAAGGGAGUGUUGACGACUCCACAGCUGCAUUGGAUGGUGAGAGCUAAGAACAAAGGUCUCAACGCAACGGAGAAGGAUUACUUCGAGAGUCUAACGACGUCGUUUAAGUGUUUGAUUGAUCUGAUCCCAAACAAGCUGGAGAGUAGCAAGUUGGUGUUAGACGGUACUAACGGUGUGGGUGGGGAGAAGAUGGAAGUUUUAAAAGGGUAUUUAAGUAAUUUAGAUAUCGAGAUUCGUAACACAGGGAGAGAUGGUGGUGUGCUUAACGAAAGUGUAGGUGCUGACUUUGUUCAGAAGGAAAAGGUUGUUCCUUUAGGGUUUGGGGUUAAUGACGUUGGCGUGAGGUGUGUUAGCUUCGACGGUGAUGCUGAUAGGUUAGUUUACUUUUACGUUUCUUCUGGUGAGAAGAAGAUUGAGUUGCUAGACGGUGAUAAGAUACUCUCUUUGUUUGCUCUCUUCGUCAAAGAGCAGCUAAACGUUCUUGAUGAUGGGUGUUGUCGUCUUGGUGUUGUGCAGACGGCUUAUGCAAACGGUGCGUCGACGGAUUACUUGAAGGGCUUGGGUUUAGAGGUUGUGUUUGCGAAGACUGGGGUUAAGCAUUUACAUGAGAAAGCGGCUGAGUUUGAUGUUGGGAUCUACUUCGAAGCUAAUGGCCAUGGGACUAUACUCUUCUCGGAAGAUUAUGUAACCUUGUUGGUUGAUAAGCGGAAGGGUCUGAGUGAAGGCUCUGAUGAGUGUAAUGCGGUUUCUAGGCUAGUGGCGGUGAGUAAUCUGAUUAACCAAGCGGUUGGUGAUGCUAUAAGCGGGUUGCUUUUGGUUGAAGUGGUGCUGCGACACAUGGGAUGGUCGGUGCAGAAGUGGAAUGAGCUGUACAAGGAUCUUCCUAGUAGACAGGUUAAGGUGGAAGUUCCGGAUAGAACAGCGGUUGUGACCACGAGUGAAGAGACCGAGGCUCUGAGACCUUUGGGGAUUCAGGAUGCUAUUAAUGGUGAGAUUAAGAAGUACCGGCGUGGCAGGGCUUUUAUAAGGCCAUCAGGGACAGAAGAUGUUGUGAAAGUAUAUGCAGAAGCAACUACACAGGAAGAUGCUGAUUCUUUGGGUGAUUCUGUGGCUCAGCUUGUCAAAAGCUUCCUUGGUUCGAGCUAAAGGUCCUGCCCUUUUUCUUUCCAAUAAAGUUCUAAAACUGGAAUGUAUAAUGUAUCUUCCUUUCCUGAAAUAGUAAAGUUAGAGAUCGUUGUUAAGGACUCAGUAGUCAGUACCAGGUACCAGGUACUUAUAGUAAGAUCAUAACGAUGGUGUACUUGAAAAAAAGCUUAUGCCUUAAUCUCUAGGUUAAGAAGGGAACUUAGCACAUGCCUUUGUCUUCCUGUCUUAUCUCUCAGCAACUUUGUCGCCGGCUGUGACUUCACCACGAACCAAAACACUGACCCCUCUAGUGGAAGACUGUCUUAAUCUUUGUUGAAUUACAACUGUAAUGUGUGAUCAAAUUUGUGGAUAUAAUCAAAGAACAACUUAACAUGUAACAAAGACUUGUUGUUCUGUUGUUGAGAGACUAAAAGUCCCCACCUUGAGUUAUUAUUAAUUAAAAUACAUUUAGACCACAGAGAUGAGAGAAUGUGAUCACCACAGAACAUGAAAAACAUAAACUUGCUGGUCUUUACUACUGACAAAAGCAUAUGUCUUAUCUAAACAAACAGUGAGAAAACAAGCCCUUGUGAAUCGUAUAUGGAGUUUGUUUUUAGUUUAUUGUCCUACACUCAUCAAAUCAAGUUGCAGUAAACUAAACUUUUCUAAAUGCUUAAGACAGAACCAUGUGCAACUCUGUUCUAGUCUGUCCCACGUUUCAAAGAUUUUUCAAGAGAGGCUGCAACUCAUUCACUGAUAUAUAUACACAUUACCCAUCCUAUAAUUCAUCAACCAACAACAAGCAACACAAAAACUUGAAAUCUUUUCAUACAUCUCUUCAAAAGCUUUUAAAAAGUUCAAAAUUUCAGACAAAACCUACAGAAAUGGCUUUGGUGAGAAGUCUCUUCAGUGCAAAAAAGAUUCUUAGCAGAGCAACCUCGGCAGCGCCAAAAGGGUUUCUUGCGGUGUACGUAGGAGAAAGCCAGAAGAAGAGAUAUGUGGUGCCAAUCUCAUACCUGAGCCAGC
rnacentral:lncRNA from 1 species